rnacentral:tRNA from 1 species
GGGGUUGGGGCUCAGUGGUAGAGCACUCACCUAGCAUGUGCAAGGCCCUGGGUUUGAUCCUCAGCACCACA